UGGGGAAUUUUGGACAAUGGGCGAAAGCCUGAUCCAGCAAUGCCGCGUGUGUGAAGAAGGCCUUCGGGUUGUAAAGCACUUUUGUCCGGAAAGAAAUCCUUGGCUCUAAUACAGUCGGGGGAUGACGGUACCGGAAGAAUAAGCACCGGCUAACUACGUGCCAGCAGCCGCGGUAAUACGUAGGGUGCAAGCGUUAAUCGGAAUUACUGGGCGUAAAGCGUGCGCAGGCGGUUUGCUAAGACCGAUGUGAAAUCCCCGGGCUCAACCUGGGAACUGCAUUGGUGACUGGCAGGCUAGAGUAUGGCAGAGGGGGGUAGAAUUCCACGUGUAGCAGUGAAAUGCGUAGAGAUGUGGAGGAAUACCGAUGGCGAAGGCAGCCCCCUGGGCCAAUACUGACGCUCAUGCACGAAAAGCGUGGGGGAGCAAAACAGGAUUAGAUACCCUGGUAGUCCACGCCCUAAACGAUGUCAACUAGUUGUUGGGGAUUCAUUUCCUUAGUAACGUAGCUAACGCGUGAAGUUGACCGCCUGAGGAGUACGGUCGCAAGAUUAAAACUCAAAUGAAUUGACGGGGUCAUAGCUGUUUCC
rnacentral:rRNA from 1 species